UUCCUGGUGGGAAUGGUCUCCUAGAAGUGAAUUUCCAUGCAGCUUUCUAAUUUCAGCAGAUAAGUCGUGACCACAACCUGUGGCUAAAGAUGACUAAACGGCACAGCGGGAUGCAUUUUGGCAGAGAAGGAAUGAGACAACAUGAUGGAUCCACUGCACAUCUACUCAUAAGAAGUUUUAUCCUGAGAUGGGACUUCAUUUUGCAAGCAGGUGGAAGAUUUGAUUCUGAUCAACUUGAUGCUGGUGUAAAGGAAGAGCCAUGUCCUGGAACCAAAUGGAAACACCGUGAUACAAAGGACGAUGAGACCAGAAGUGAGCUCUAUUACUGGUAAAAGCAUCUCCCUUCUGAUGUAGCUGUCCUUGAAAGAUUCACAGAAAAUUAUUGACUUUUCAGCUCCACACAUAUUUUGGGGCACAAGGGUAUUGGUAACAGAGAAAAUCAAUAUUCUCUUUUUGAGCUUGUUUCCUCUUCUCUUUUUUUUUUGAGUCCAUAGCAAGGUGGGAAGAACUGCAGGUGACAAUGAAAUUGAGGUUCUUAAAUGCACCAAAAUGACAGAACAGUCUUGUGUGCAAGUAGAAGGGAGCACUUCUCUGUUAAACAAGUUGUCAAAAGCACUGCCUCUUAAUGCAGAACAAUAAAAUAAUCUUUUCAAACAGUUUAAUGGCCAGGAUGAAUGAAAGAAUCUGUGUGUGCUUUACAAAUGGCCUGAUUACUGCCAGCUCACAUGCUUGCUCUGCAGUUGUAGUACAUUAGAAUUUGAAGUAGGAUGUUGUUAGCAACUCUUUGCGUGGGGUGGAAUUUGAAUCAAAAGCUAUAAAUGACCUGUGACAGCAAAAAUGAAAGUGCAAUUGCUUUCUCACAUGACCUGUUUCUUUUAGUGUCAUUAAACUUAAUCAAUGAUUAA